GACAGAGUUGAGUAGCUGCCCAUCAUCUCUUGCUCUGCCUGCCCACUGUGUGGAAGCAACAAGGGAUAGAAGGAAAGCACCUCCAGCCUGCCAUUACCCACUGGUGAUUCCUCUCCACCGCCACCUGCUCCUGUUCCACAGGAUUCGUCUGCCACAAGUAAAGAGUGAAUCAUACCUUCUGGUGUGUGCAGAAGGGGGGAAGCUCCAAAUAUGGAGGAGACAC